rnacentral:rRNA from 1 species
GUGCCACCAUCCGCGGUAACACGCACGUGGCAAGCGUUGUCCUGAUUACUGAGCGGCAAAGGGAGCGCAUGUGGUUUCUUAGUCUGAUGUGAAAGCCCACGGCUUAACCGUGGAGGGUCAUUGGAAACUGGGAAACUUGAGUACAGAAGAGGAAUGUGGAACUCCAUGUGUAGCGGUGGAAUGCGUAGAUAUAUGGAAGAACACCAGUGGCGAAGGCGACAUUCUGGUCUGUUACUGACACUGAGGCUCGAAAGCGUGGGGAGCAAACAGGAUUAGAUACCCUGGUAGUCC